rnacentral:rRNA from 1 species
CCUACGGGUGGCAGCAGUGAGGAAUAUUGGUCAAUGGGCGGGAGCCUGAACCAGCCAAGUCGCGUGAGGGAAGACGGUCCUAUGGAUUGUAAACCUCUUUAGGCGGGGAGCAAUGCCGGGCACGCGUGCCCGGAGGGAGAGUACCCGCAGAAUAAGCACCGGCAAACUCCGUGCCAGCAGCCGCGGUAAUACGGAGGAUGAGAGCGUUAUCCGGUUUUAUGGGGUUUAAAGGGUGCGUAGGCGGAUUUUUAAGUCAGCGGUAAAAUGUCCGGGCUCAACCCGGGCCGGCCGUUGAAACUGGGGAUCUUGAGUGGGCGAGAAGUAUGCGGAAUGCGUGGUGUAGCGGUGAAAUGCAUAGAUAUCACGCAGAACUCCGAUUGCGAAGGCAGCAUACCGGCGCCCGACUGACGCUGAGGCACGAAAGCGUGGGGAUCGAACAGGAUUAGAUACCCCAGUAGUC